AGAUUGAACGCUGGCGGCAGGCCUAACACAUGCAAGUCGAGCGGAAACAGAGAGUAACUUGUUACUUUGCUGUCGAGCGGCGGACGGGUGAGUAAUGCUUGGGAAACUGCCCAGUCGAGGGGGACAACCAUUGGAAACGAUGGCUAAUACCGCAUACGCCCUACGGGGGAAAGAAGGGGACUCUUCGGAGCCUUUCGCGAUUGGAUGUGCCCAAGUGGGAUUAGCUAGUUGGUGAGGUAAAUGCUCACCAAGGCAACAAUCCCUAGCUGGUUUGAGAGGAUGAUCAGCCACACUGGAACUGAGACACGGUCCAGACUCCUACGGGAGGCAGCAGUGGGGAAUAUUGCACAAUGGGCGCAAGCCUGAUGCAGCCAUGCCGCGUGUAUGAAGAAGGCCUUCGGGUUGUAAAGUACUUUCAGCGAGGAGGAAAGGUUAGUCGUUAAUAACGGCUAGCUGUGACGUUACUCGCAGAAGAAGGACCGGCUAACUCCGUGCCAGCAGCCGCGGUAAUACGGAGGGUCCGAGCGUUAAUCGGAAUUACUGGGCGUAAAGCGUACGCAGGCGGUUUGUUAAGCGAGAUGUGAAAGCCCCGGGCUCAACCUGGGAACUGCAUUUCGAACUGACAAACUAGAGUUUUGUAGAGGGUGGUAGAAUUUCAGGUGUAGCGGUGAAAUGCGUAGAGAUCUGAAGGAAUACCAGUGGCGAAGGCGGCCACCUGGACAAUAACUGACGCUCAUGUACGAAAGCGUGGGGAGCAAACGGGAUUAGAUACCCCGGUAGUCCACGCCGUAAACGAUGUCAACUAGCCGACUGAAUCCUUGAGAUUUGGGUGGCGCAGCUAACGCAUUAAGUUGACCGCCUGGGGAGUACGGCCGCAAGGUUA
rnacentral:rRNA from 1 species